rnacentral:rRNA from 1 species
GUCAAGUCAUCAUGGCCCUUACGACCAGGGCUACACACGUGCUACAAUGGCGCAUACAAAGAGAAGCGACCUCGCGAGAGCAAGCGGACCUCAUAAAGUGCGUCGUAGUCCGGAUUGGAGUCUGCAACUCGACUCCAUGAAGUCGGAAUCGCUAGUAAUCGUAGAUCAGAAUGCUACGGUGAAUACGUUCCCGGGCCUUGUACACACCGCCCGUCACACCAUGGGAGUGGGUUGCAAAAGAAGUAGGUA